rnacentral:rRNA from 1 species
AUUGAACGCUGGCGGCAGGCUUAACACAUGCAAGUCGAACGGUAACAGGGUGCUUGCACCGCUGACGAGUGGCGAACGGGUGAGUAAUGCGUCGGAACGUGCCGAGUAGUGGGGGAUAACGCAGCGAAAGUUGUGCUAAUACCGCAUACGUACUGAGGUAGAAAGUGGGGGACCUUCGGGCCUCACGCUAUUCGAGCGGCCGACGUCUGAUUAGCUAGUAGGUGAGGUAAAGGCUCACCUAGGCGACGAUCAGUAGUGGGUCUGAGAGGAUGAUCCGCCACACUGGGACUGAGACACGGCCCAGCCUCCUACGGGAGGCAGCAGUGGGGAAUUUUGGACAAUGGGCGAAAGCCUGAUCCAGCCAUGCCGCGUGUCUGAAGAAGGCCUUCGGGUUGUAAAGGACUUUUGUCAGGGAGGAAAUCCCUAGUGCUAAUAACACUGGGGGAUGACAGUACCUGAAGAAUAAGCACCGGCUAACUACGUGCCAGCCGCCGCCGUAA